ensembl:lncRNA
GUCGUUCCAACCAGCCCCCCUCACCCCAACCCCCCUCCUCUCUAUCCCCCGCGCGGGUUUAUUGUUACGCACUGACAGUCGGGAUUAUUCGCUGCUCACACACAGUAGCAGCAGACGGGCUUCUCCUCCUCCUCUCAUCUUCCUCACAAAAUGUGGACACCUACUAAGGACUUAUUAUAACCUAUAUCUUCCCGCCGCCGAACACAUCCCCAGCUGAACGAAUGUCUUCCCAUAAUGUCGUCUCCUGCCCCAUCCCACGGGGACCGACCGGUCCAUUAUCCCUGAUGGGGUGCUGCACAGGGCUCAGGGACCGACCGGUCCAUUAUCCCUGAUGGGGUGCUGCACAGUGCUCAGGGCGGGGCUGAUAGCCCGGUAAAGAACCAGCCUCGACACAAACAGACCAACAGAACCAGCCUUCAUCCCCACCACCUCCACAAUCCUCCUCCUCCUCCUCCUCCUCCUCCUCCUCCCUCACCCUCCCUCACCCUCCC